UCCCUGGUGGUCCAGUGGUUAGGAUUCUGUGCUCUCACUGCCGAGGGCCUGGGUUCACUCCCUGGUCAGGGAA
rfam:Ovis aries breed Texel chromosome 1, whole genome shotgun sequence.